rnacentral:lncRNA from 1 species
GAUUCUUCAACUUUUUUCGAUUCUCAAUGUUAGUUUUAGACAUUCUCUACAAACAGAAAGAAACAUCAAACAAUGAAAUAUAUAAUGCUUCCUGUUAAAAUAUCAAACAGAAAGGUACCUGAGUCAUAUAUAUGCUUCAUGUUAAAAUAACAAACAGAAAAAUACAUAUGUUGCACACCUGUACCAAGUAAAUGCAACCGCUACUUUGAACAAAAAAUUCACUUGCACAAACGGGGAAGAUUUUGGGCAGAAAUGGGGCAGAAUUUUUCUGAAAACAUCUGCCAGCAUUUCGGCGCUUUUUGGACGUUUAGAAAGGAAGAAGAAUGAAAAUAAAAACAUACCUCCAAUCAUGAAAUACCAUCUAAUGACCUUGCUAAGUCAUAUAUAAUGCUUCCUGUUAAAACAUCAAACAGAAAGGUACGAGAGUUUUAUGUGUGAAAUCUGCAGCAUACGAGGUUUUAAACAUAAGUACACAACAACAAGGGGCUUAGGUGUGGAAGCAUAAUU